UGUAAGCGUAUACUAAAGUUGUUGCAGUUAAAACGCUCGUAGUCGGAAUUUGGCAGUUCCGGAUGUGUGCACGUCGUGUGCGCACUUCGCGGGGAUUGCUUUUGUGGUCUUGCGUAGGAUGAGGCACUUUUAUUAGUGAACGUCCUCACGCAACCACUUUUUACUGUGAGAAAAUCAGAGUGCUCAAAGCAGGCAUUUGCCGUGAAUGUAUUAGCAUGGAAUAAUAGAAUAGGACUUGGUUCUAUUUUGUUGGUUUGUUGGGACUGAGUAAUGAUUAAGAGGGACAGUUGGGGGCAUUUGUAUUUCGGUGCUAGAGGUGAAAUUCUUAGAUUACCGAAAGACAAACUGCUGCGAAAGCGUCUGCCAAGGAUGUUUUCAUUGA
rnacentral:rRNA from 1 species